CUGCAUGUGUGUGUCUCAUAGACACUUCAGAUUUACCAAGCCUAAAAUGGAUCUUGUCCUUAGUUUCAUAUCUCACAGUUAAUGCAUCAUCAUCUCACAUUUUCCCCUUUCUGUCAUUAGUCUUCACUUUCCUUACCACUCCAAACUUGUUAUUCCUUAUUCCCGAAUUCUUGAGUUUAUUCCCUUUCUGUAGUAAGUUUGUGCAUUUGUAUCAGCCUCUACUCUAAGACAGAAGAAAUAACCAUCACCUUACUUCUCCGGUCACAAUAUUUACUGGCUUCCUAUUACUUAACUGCAGGAUGAAAUUUAAACCCUAAGCGUGAUUUAUGAGACCCCUUUAUUAUUUCUCCCUUGCCUAUCUCUGUUGCCUCCUGUCUUACCUUUUCUUCAUUAUUCUAUAUAGUCCCCUCCCCAUGGCCCCCACAAGUGACACAUGACUCUUAGCCCAUCCCACAUUUGGUUAUGCCUUUGCCCACACAGUUUCCUGGGGCAGCAGUGUCUUCCUUUUUCUCCCUACCCAUGCAUACAAGCUACCUAAUAAACACUUAUUCCUUCUUCAGAGUGCCAGAUGUCUAUUCUCACCAUCAUGGAUUCUUUGGUGCACCUUUCUGUUUCUAUUGUAUAUUUUACAUAUUAUUUGUCUCAGGACAAUGUAAUUGUUUCCAUCUUUCUCUUCACUAGUAUGAUAUCUUUAUGGGCAGGGACUUACAUUUUUAUUUUUUUUUAUCCCCAGAGUUUAGUAUAAUAUCUGGUACUACGUAUUUAUUAUUUCUCAAUAAAUAUUUGAGAAAGGAAUGAACCUUUCUUUGGUAAUAUGAGUAUUUUUAUUUGCAAAAAAAAAAAGUAAAGUGUGGUAUGCCAUAUUUAGUAGAGAUGUUAAUUCUGAAAUGAUUAUUAUUUAAUGUCCAUUGAACUACUAGUUUUAUAUGACUACUUGAGAACUAAGUAUAGUUAACGGUAUUAAUCAUCAGAUAACAUUGCUGUAUGAACCAUAAGAUUUUGGUAUGUUUUGCAGAUCAAGGAUCUGGAUUUUGCGUAACUGGUAAAAUAGAAGCUGGUUAUAUCCAAACUGGUGACCGACUACUGGCAAUGCCUCCUAAUGAAACUUGUACCGUGAAAGGAAUCACUCUGCAUGAUGAACCUGUCGACUGGGCGGCAGCAGGCGAUCAUGUUAGUCUUACUUUGGUUGGGAUGGAUAUCAUCAAAAUCAAUGUUGGCUGCAUAUUUUGUGGCCCCAAAGUACCCAUUAAAGCUUGCACUCGUUUCAGAGCCCGAAUCCUCAUCUUUAAUAUUGAAAUUCCUAUCACUAAAGGAUUUCCUGUGCUGUUACACUACCAAACUGUCAGUGAACCCGCCGUUAUUAAACGAUUGAUUAGUGUCUUAAACAAAAGCACGGGUGAAGUCACAAAGAAAAAGCCUAAGUUUUUGACUAAAGGCCAGAAUGCAUUGGUAGAGCUACAGACACAAAGACCAAUAGCUCUUGAGCUAUAUAAAGACUUUAAAGAGCUAGGGAGGUUCAUGCUACGUUACGGUGGUUCUACAAUAGCUGCUGGUGUUGUCACUGAGAUAAAAGAAUGAUGGGUCAGAAUUUCUACCGCGUUUCUGGAUACAGUGAAAUAGCUAACCUCUGUUUCAAGAAUGCAGUUAUUAAGUCAAAGGAACAAUGUGCAAUUGAUAUGUUUUUAGAUGAGAGAGAAAAAUUAAAGCUAAAAUUAGCUGCAAAGAAGUAUUAAUAAUCACCUCUGCAAAAAUUCUAAGUUGCCAACUGGCAAAGAAAGUCUAAUGUUAAAAACAACUUUGCCUUUGAAAUGUUAAUAAAUGGAUUUACUUUGCCAAGAUUUAUGGCAAGUGUCAAAAAUAGUAUCUGAAGAUACUGAAUCAUCAUGAAAUGAACUCUACUUCUGGCCAAAGCACAAUGUAUUUGCAGUUUUCUCUUUUGAUUCAAUUAUACUGCACAUGUUUUAAGGAAAAGUAACUUAAUUGGGUUUUUCAGGCAGUUGAUAUUUGACCUAAGCUUUUUUUUUUUUUUUUUUUCCAGUUAACGCUAAGAAAAGAUUUGGGGAAGGUUAUAAUAAAAGUAUUUUGUGGUGACCAUAAGAAUGUCCCUCCCCAAACAAAUAAACUUGUGAAAGUUUAAUUUGGAAUUAGUGGAAGCUGUUCCUUUGAAAGCCAAGAUAUUAUUUAAGUUGUAAAGCCAGCUAAUAAAAUGCCUUAGUUUGAGCAUAAUA
rnacentral:sRNA from 1 species